rnacentral:rRNA from 1 species
GGUUGACCUCGGAUUAGGUAGGG